rnacentral:rRNA from 1 species
AGAGAGAGACAUGCGCGCAUAUCAAUAAGCGGAGGAAAAGAAACUAACUAGGAUUCCCUCAGUAACGGCGAGUGAAGCGGGGAGAGCUCAAAUUUGAAAUCUUCAAGGUUCUACCUUGACGAAUUGUAGUUUAAAGAAGUGUUUUCUGUUGAAGUUUUGGUAAAAGUUCUUUGGAAUAGGACAUCAUAGAGGGUGAGAAUCCCGUAUUUGACCAUUAUUUUCCAGCUGUGUGAUACACUUUCAAAGAGUCGGAUUGUUUGGGAAUGCAGUCCAAAAUGGGUGGUAAAUUUCAUCUAAAGCUAAAUAUUGGCGAGAGACCGAUAGCGAACAAGUACCGUGAGGGAAAGAUGAAAAGAACUUUGAAAAGAGAGUUAAACAGUACGUGAAAUUGUCAAAAGGGAAGCGUUUGACACCAGUGUUGUUUUCUCGAAAAUCAAUUAAAAAAGGCAGGAUUUUGUGUUGUAUUGACUUUAUCAGCUUUCUGCACUCUUUUCUUGUCUUUUUUAAUGCACUUUUCGUUUAACAAGUCAACAUCAACUUCUUUUGUUGUAAAAGGGUCAUUGGAAGGUGGCUUUCUUUUCGGAGAAAGUGUUUAUAGCCUUUGGCCUCUGCAAUCGGAGAGAUUGAGGUCUGCAGCGUAGAUCCUUCGAGGUUAGAUACAUUUGUGCUAGGUUAUAGCCUUUCAUAGACAACUUGUUGACUAUGAUCAGUCAUGUAGCUUACUCGCUUAUGUUAUUUUACCUACGCUUAGGAUGUUGAUGUGAUACUGCGAGCA